CCUACGGGUGGCAGCAGUGAGGAAUAUUGGUCAAUGGACGAGAGUCUGAACCAGCCAAGUAGCGUGAAGGAUGACUGCCCUAUGGGUUGUAAACUUCUUUUAUAUGGGAAUAAAAUGUUCCACGUGUGGGAUUUUGUAUGUACCAUAUGAAUAAGGAUCGGCUAACUCCGUGCCAGCAGCCGCGGUAAUACGGAGGAUCCGAGCGUUAUCCGGAUUUAGUGGGGUUAACGGGAGCGUAGGUGGAUUGUUAAGUCAGUUGUGAAAGUUUGCGGCUCAACCGUAAAAUUGCAGUUGAAACUGGUAGUCUUGAGUAUAGUAGAGGUGGGCGGAAUUCGUGGUGUAGCGGUGAAAUGCUUAGAGAUCACGAAGAACUCCGAUAGCGAAGGCAGCUUACCAGACUACGACUGACGCUGAGGCACGAGAGCGUGGGUAGCGAACAGGAUUAGAUACCCUUGUAGUC
rnacentral:rRNA from 1 species